rnacentral:rRNA from 1 species
UACGGAGGGUGCAAGCGUUGCUCGGAAUUAUUGGGCGUAAAGGGUAGGUAGGUGGUCUGAUUUGUCUCAUGUGAAGCCUUGAGCUUAACUCAAGAAGUGCGUGAGAAACGGUCAGACUAGAGUACUGGAGAGGCUAGUGGAAUUCCCGGUGUAGCGGUGAAAUGCGUAGAGAUCGGGAGGAACACCAGAGGCGAAGGCGGCUAGCUGGACAGUAACUGACACUCAACUACGAAAGCGUGGGGAGCAAACAGG